CAACAUGUUUUUCUUAGUCUGAAGUCAGGAGAUCCUCUCUCUCUGUUGCAAGGCAGAUCACACAGCUUGCCCUCCCAGCUCUAAGCAGACUUCUGCUGACUUCAGUAGGCUCCAGGCCAGAUUCAUAGUCUGCAUCUCUUAUUUACAAAUUGGAAAUAUUAGUCAUGUAGAAGAGGUCUUGCUGGAUCUCUGAGCAGGGCCAGACUUCAACCUCUUGCUCUCUGUCGAUAUGCAGUCUACAAGUUUAGGUUCUCUAUACUUAAUUACAGGAUUUUGCAUGUAUUAGGCAGCAAACAUAAAGGAAACAUCUGCUUAACUGAGUUCCACGUUCAACAGUGCAUUGGUGUGACUUUUUCUCUAAGUGAAUUCCUGGCUGCCUCACAAAUCUUGAGGCAAAUCCUCGGUACAGUUGUUGCAAUAUUCUCCUAGGACAUCCCAGUUCCAGAUCAGGACACUGUAUGUGGAGCCUGGUCAGUUGGAAGAAUCUGGCCCUCCA
rnacentral:lncRNA from 1 species